UUUUCGUGCUGCUUUUCAGAUGGUACGCUGUGUUAUCUUUCGUUAUUGUAAUUUCUUUAUAUUUGCUCUACUUUUAACUCUUGGAAAUGUGGUUAGAGUUGGUAUUUCUUUUGUUUACUUUUGAUUUUGUCUUUGCAUCUUUUUAUAUGUGUGGUUGUGAGCAUGUAUACUAUGCGCAAUUUUAUUUGGUGUAUUGUUAAAAAGAUUUCAUGGUUUUUAUAUUUGCCUUCUUGUUCUUUACUGUUUUCAAGCUUAUCACAUAAUCAACUUCCAAACUUUUACGCUUGAGCUCCUUACAUGGUGCUCAUUAAACUAAUUAGAAAAAAGAGUUCAUUUCAAAUGAUGAUGAAUGCUUCAUAUUUUUAACAAUUUUGCCUUUGACAACAUUAUUUCAAUUAACCAUCUAUACUACUAGACCAUGUGUUUGUUGUUGGUAAUCAGAAGAUACUUGUUAAAAUACGUUUAGUAUUCUUCAUGAGUUGUGCUAAAAAUGGAACAUUAAACUUCUUUUGAUGCUUGAAACAAUAUUUUUAGGCAACUGAAUGAGGAGCGAAAGUUUAAUUUAGUGGCGUGUUACUAUUCACCAUAGUGUAUCAUUUUUUAAAUUAUCGUCUUUUAUGUCUUCUCUUAAUCUUUGAUUUCACUAUAUUGGAUGUUGAGAUUAUAUUGUAUUUAAAAAGGGCCAAGAUGUAAUUCUAUUAAGAUUUUAUGGUAUAAAUAGGGUUGUAAUAAUCAGUUUUGAAGGUUCUUUAAGUAAUGAAACCAAUUUACUGAUAGUUUAUUCUCCUGGUUCUAUAACCAGAAAAUUCAACCUAUUUGGUUGAUUGAGUGAUUUCAUUGUUCUCUUGUUUUGAUAUAUAUAUAUAUAUAUCAAAACAAGAGAACAAUGAAAUCACUCAAUCAACCAAAUAGGUUGAAUUUUCUGGUUAUAGAACCAGGAGAAUAAACUAUCAGUAAAUUGGUUUCAUUACUUAAAGAACCUUCAAAACUGAUUAUUACAACCCUAUUUAUACCAUAAAAUCUUAAUAGAAUUACAUCUUGGCCCUUUUUAAAUACAAUAUAAUCUCAACAUCCAAUAUAGUGAAAUCAAAGAUUAAGAGAAGACAUAAAAGACGAUAAUUUAAAAAAUGAUACACUAUGGUGAAUAGUAACACGCCACUAAAUUAAACUUUCGCUCCUCAUUCAGUUGCCUAAAAAUAUUGUUUCAAGCAUCAAAAGAAGUUUAAUGUUCCAUUUUUAGCACAACUCAUGAAGAAUACUAAACGUAUUUUAACAAGUAUCUUCUGAUUACCAACAACAAACACAUGGUCUAGUAGUAUAGAUGGUUAAUUGAAAUAAUGUUGUCAAAGGCAAAAUUGUUAAAAAUAUGAAGCAUUCAUCAUCAUUUGAAAUGAACUCUUUUUUCUAAUUAGUUUAAUGAGCACCAUGUAAGGAGCUCAAGCGUAAAAGUUUGGAAGUUGAUUAUGUGAUAAGCUUGAAAACAGUAAAGAACAAGAAGGCAAAUAUAAAAACCAUGAAAUCUUUUUAACAAUACACCAAAUAAAAUUGCGCAUAGUAUACAUGCUCACAACCACACAUAUAAAAAGAUGCAAAGACAAAAUCAAAAGUAAACAAAAGAAAUACCAACUCUAACCACAUUUCCAAGAGUUAAAAGUAGAGCAAAUAUAAAGAAAUUACAAUAACGAAAGAUAACACAGCGUACCAUCUGAAAAGCAGCACGAAAA
rnacentral:misc_RNA from 1 species